rnacentral:lncRNA from 1 species
UUUCAGGCGAUGUUUCUAGUGUGUAUAAUCUAGUGGACGGAAUGCUUCUUCAACAACUGCAGCCACCUUGGUAGCUCGCCAGACAUCAAAGUCGGAACAUUGAAGUUCUUUGGGAUAAUUUUGUGGUUUAUUUGCCACUAUGAUUUAAACAUACUUAUGUGGAAACAACUAGCUACCCCAUUUAAUUGAAUAUUUACGUUGUUAGUCAAUUAGCUGGCUGGUUAAGUUAGGACUAGUCUAGUCGCUAAUGCUAACAAGCUAUUAUCCCCGACGAUUGAGUUCACUAAGCUACUCUCCUCCUGCAAAAGAAGAGGUCUGCUGGACAGAGAAAGAAUCUCUGGUGAAAAAGGAGGAGGAAGAGGAGGCUGUUAUAAUACAAAAACAAGUAGAGGGUGAGGCUGUUACUGUGAAAGAAGAAGAGAAAGAUGUUUCAUUGAAAGAAGAUGCGAAAGACGCCUUCAGAGUGAAAGAGGAGGAGGAGGAUGUUACUGUGAAAGGAGAGGAAGAUGCUGUUUUUGGAGUGGAGGAUAUAGAGGGGGCGAUUACUGUCUCAUUAGAGGACGAAGAAGAGAAGACUGGAGAUCUGAUUAACACCAGUAAAUACAGAGAGAGACGUGACUAUCGUGGAUCCUCAACAACAUCAUGAUGCUGACAGGGCAGAGAAGAGUCUCUCCAGAUCAGAACACCUCAAGAAACACCUGCAGAGGCCCACCGCAAAGAAAUCUCACCACUGCUCUGACUGUGGGAAGAGUCAUUCAAGAUCAGAUUCACUUAAACUACAUAAGAGAAUACACCAGCGAGUACACACAGGAGAGAAACCUCACCACUGUUUUGACUGGGAAGAGUUACUUAAAAUCAGAUUCACUUAAACUACACCUGAGAAUACAUACUGGAUAGAAUCUUCACUGCUGCUCUGACUGUGGGAAGAGAUUCACCUCUUCAGUAGACCUUAAAACACGGGAGAGAAACCUUUUGGCUGUGAUCAAUGUGGGAAGAGUUUUACUCAGUCAAGAGGCCUGAUAUCACACCAGAUAACACACACACACAGGAGAGAAAUCUUAUAGCUAUGAUCAAUAUGAUGAGGUACUCUCAUAAAAUAUAUCUCAUAUCUCAUCAAGCAUCAGAAAAUACAUACAUGAAGGAGUUGUUUCACGAUAUCAAUGAAAUAUUGUCACAAUAUAGAAUGUAGAAUGUUUUAACAUUGUAGUCGGAGUAUUUGAAUGAAUUUAUAAUGUAGCACCCUAAAUGUUUGCCCCCCCCCCC